GCCUGGGUGGCUCAGAUGGUUGAGCGUCUGACUUUGGUUCAGGUCAUGAUCUCACGGUCUGUGAGUUCGAUACCCACGUCAGGCU
rnacentral:tRNA from 1 species